UUUACUCUUCUAUUUUCAAAUAUCCCCAUAUUACCCUUUGCAAAUGUGAAAAGGAAGAAUGAAGAUGUAAGGUUAUGCCAUUUUUCCCCUAAACGGAGCACGAAGAAGAAGAGGAAGAGAAAGUGAGAGAGAAUGGUGAAGCGUUUUGUGACAAUCGGAGUUCUUCAGGAGGAGGAGCGAGUGGAGGAAGCAUCCAAGGCUCAGCAAUCAGCUCUGUCAUGCCCUUCUCGGUCUUAGCCUCAGAGUCGACAAGCUGGUCUACAACAAACUCCUCCUUCCUCUUCUUCUUCUGCUUCUUCUUCUUCUCACCACUCUUCCCAUUCCUCUGCUUCUCACUGACUCACUGAGACAACUAAAACAAUAACCUCAUCAGGUGACGAUGAUCAUUCAGCCCCCUUAAAUCUUCUUUUACUUUUUGUUCCGUUCAGUUUUUUGGGUCUGCUUUUACUUUUGUUUUUAUUAGCUGUUCUGGAAAUUUUGUUGAUUAUUACAAUUGAAAAUAUUAAGUUAAUGGAUCUUAUACAUGGGAUAUAGUAAUUAUUAAUUACUAAACUUGUUUUUAGAAUGCUAUUAUUUUUGGGUUUUAUUAUUUGGGGCCAAAAUCAUAUGCAUUUUAACUGUUUGUUGAUAUGUUUUAUUGGGUUGCGUGUGUGUGGUAGAAAUUAUAUAAUGCUUUUGCUCAUACAAAUGAAGAGAAAAUUUUAGUAGUGAAGCUAUUCCAUAACCUGUUCUGUUAAAGUCUUGGAUGUGUCUAUAUGCUCAGAUCUUCCUAAGAUCUUAUUAAUGGCUAUUUCCUAUACAUCAAUUACGAAUUUCAAUCUCCAGUUCCUCUAAUCUAAGAAAAUUUUAUCAUAUAUAAAUACAUGAUAUGUUGAUAUACUUUUAAUUGGUAUUUUAAGAUGAUGGAUCUGUUAUAUGUAUAUUUUCUCUUUCUGGAAGUAAUGCCCAAGAUGGACAUUUAGCUGCUGGUCGUAACGGUGUAAAGCGCCUCAGAACUAUAAGUUCUCAUCUGUUUUACUCUUUGAUGUGACAUGAUUGAAGAAUUAAUCAACAAGGGGUAUGAACGUCAAAAUAACGCAGCUGCAAUGCAAACUCUUGUUACUAAUUGGUUGGAAAAUAUCAUGCAAGAGCGCUCAAAUAAUGGCAGAGGCUUACGUGUUAUUCCAUUGAACUUAUACAAGUUUCAAAUUGUUGGCUAUGGCAUGUUCGUUGGAGUAGUCAACUUAGAAAAUAAGACAUGCUCAUGCAAGGAAUUCGACAUUGAUGGAUUUCCUUGUGUCCAUGCAAUUGAAGCAUGUAAGCAUCGACAUAUUUCUCCAUAUAUCCUUUGCUCGGUGCAUUACUAAGUUGACUCACUCUGUGACGCAUAUUCGGAAACCAUAUAUCCACUUGGAGAUAAAUGUCAGUGGUAUGCUCGAGAUGAUGUCAUAAACCAGCUUGUACUUCCACCUAAGAUUGGCAAACAGUCAGGAAGACCAAGAAAGAAGAGGAUUCAAUCUCAAGGAGAGGAGCAUCUUCAAUAUAGAUGAAGGGGAUGCAAACAGAUUGGUAACAGCAGCCGAUCAUGCUCGGCUGCCGUACCUCUUGAUCGCACUACCAACCAACAGCACCAUUCAACUGAAGGACCAUAAAUUGCUCUACGCUAUAUUAAGCCAAUGGGGGCAUGUUAUGCGGUAUUCGUGUGUUAUGCAAUGUAGUAGGGAAUGCAAUUAGUAGCUCAACCGCUAACAUGUGUUUUGGCAUAAUAGACGUUGGUUUUAUGUGUUCUUUUGUUGUCAAAUUCAUCUGUCGUAUUGUUUUGAUAACAUAUCAUUCCAUGUUCAGUUUUUGGUU